CUCACGCGGUCCAUGAGGCCAAAUGGCCUCAUGGAUCGCGUGAAAACAUGCUCGUGAGGAGAUGAGGUGUGACCCGCGAUUUUCGCUAUACGCAUUUCGUUUUUUGUCGGUCUCGCGUGGAAAAUAAAAGAGGGAUCGACAAAAAAUUUUUAAGUUUGAACCUGCAAAUUAUUUUUCAUCCGAAUUUUUGUUUUCACCCUUUUUUAUAUCAAACGAAACACACCUUAAACAAACUUAAAAAUCCUAAAUUUUUUUCAUAGCAUGCCUCCCACUUCGACCGGUCCACCCCAUUAACCUUCCACGGCUUCUCCGGCGAUUCCGUUUCUUGUGCCACCUCGCUUUACCGGCAACAUUAUAUUCGAGAUUUCAUCUUCUAUGUAGAGGACAUUGAUAACAACAUGGGGUUUGUGAGAUCUCCUACGGAUGCUUCCACAACUUUUCGCCGUCUCCAUAUUUGCAUUUCCUGCAAAUCUAACUGUCGCGUCGCUUUGCAUUAGCAACAACCUCGUGAUCAAGACCUUCAAAUUCAACACCGCGAACGGCAGGAGCAACGUGGUCUUCUUCAUUCCAACUAACACUCGCAAUCAGAUGCGUAGCAUGAUGGAACAACUUUCACAAAUGGGAUUGUCUAUACUUUUCAGCUAGCGUCAACAGAAAAUGACUAAGUCUUGGAUACUCAAUAUUUUCAAGUUGGAUCAUCUCAGGCACUUCAUUUCGCUCUUAGUUUAGAGUUUUUUUUUCGUUGUUCUAAAAAGUCAGUAAUAUGAGAUGUGACUUUGAUGAGAUUAAAAACUUAUGUGGUUUGGUGCAAAUGAUACUUGAUGUGAACAAUUAACUGUUAGCUUAUUUUGAUUGUGGCACUUGAACAUAUAGUCGUUUUUUGUAUUAUGGCGUAUAUGUCUUGAAUAUUGUGAUUGAUAUUAUGUUUAAA